rnacentral:rRNA from 1 species
AACGCUGGCGGGUGGUUGAUACAUGCAGUCGAGCGGGAACGGUUCCUUCGGGAACUUAGUACAGCGGCGGACGGGUGAGUAAUGCGUGGUUAACCUGCCCUCGAGACGGGGAUAGCCAUUCGAAAGGAUGGGUAAUACCCGGUAAGACCACAGCAUCGCAUGGUGCAGCGGUAAAAGGUUGGGAUCUUCGGACCUUCCGCUCGAGGAGGGGAUCACGUCCUAUUAGCUUGUUGGUGGGGUAACGGCCUACCAAGGCGACGAUGGGUAGCCGGCCUGAGAGGGUGUCCGGCCACACUGGGACUGAGACACGGCCCAGACUCCUACGGGAGGCAGCAGUGCCGAAUCAUUCGCCAAUGCGCGAAAGCGUGACGGUGCGACGCCGCGUGGAGGAUGAAGGCCUUCGGGUUGUAAACUCCUGUCAGGGUGCAGAAAACCACAGUGGUGAAAUAGCCGCUGUGCUGAUCACACCCAAAGGAAGCACAGGCUAAUCUCGUGCCAGCAGCCGCGGUAAUACGAGGUGUGCGAGCGUUGUUCGGUGUCACUGG